AGAAAGAGAACUAGAGUUCUCUCUGACCCGAAACGCGACCCGGAGACCUGCAAAGAGGAUCCGACCGGGGCUACUCUUUCCGGCCACCUCACAGCGGCGGACCACCGGAAUUCUCUUCGUAUCGACGUCGCCGUCACGCCUGUGGCCUCGGAUCGUACAUGCACCGGCUGUAGACGGAGGACCGACGACUGGAAGCCCCGAACUUUCUCCGACAACCUCUGCAAUUUCCGGCGACUCCGGUCACCGAUUGGCCUGCAUGAGACGAUCCAUUCUUCGUACUCUACACGCUGGUGUACCUAAUCCUUGAGCUCGACCAAGUUUUGGAGAAGCAGUGUUUGGGUAUACUCGGCCUCCACCGAGAUUUGGUAAGAUUGGGAAAUAGUCGAGAGAAGUGGGAAACUCUAGCUUGCUGUGUUCGUCAUCGGACGCAGACCUGCAAAAUUUGGAUUUUUGUUCCUGGUCAAGUUUGAUUACAAGGAUUUCCAGUUACCCGAGGAAUGGAAGGUUCGUGAAUCUCGGACAACGUAAAAGGUUAAAGCAUCGGAAUCCAAGUAGGGGACUCAGGACUCAUUCGGUUAGUUGUUUUCCAUUUUGAAUUAAAUGUUUAUGCAUAUUUGAGUUGCAUGGUUUGGUUAUUGAUCGCUUGAGAGUGAGUGGAACAUAGCGAUUCCUUGGGCUUCGAUCCCCUAAACCUCCGGAGGAGCCGUAUGGACGGAAUGGUGUCUGACAUCCUCUGAGAUGUGGCACUAUUUCUAGGUGAUAUGGCGUAAGUGGACACUCUCACUAUGCUUACCUGGUGAUGAUUUUAUUUGAGGUAAGGCCCUGUAGUUGGUCCAUGGGAUUGGCCAUCAGGUAUUAUGCAUUUCUUUGAGUUUCGUGCAUUGGAUUUUGAGUCCGAAAGAUAUUUAAAGUUUGUCGUUCUUUAAAGAAAUGGUUUAACUUUUUCAUACUGGGAUCCCAAAUUAUUAUCUUAUGUGUCGGUUUUCAAACCUAGUCGGGUGAAGCCCCUAUUGAGUAGCGAGGACGAAAGCUCACCCCUACAAUAGUGUGGUUGCAAGUACUAUGCACUGGAAAUGGGAUUGGAGCGGACGGAGUUGGGUGUGCAGAUUUCAAUAGAAGUCAGGUUCUGGGUUCCAAUCUUAUUCCUGUUCCUUAAAAUUGUAUUUUCGGAACUUGUCACAAUUUGUUUGUUAUAUGCUAAGUCCUUUAUUCCUCGGUUGUUUACAACGUUAAGUCCUGGACGAACUUUUGAAUUUAAAGUUUUAGAAAGGUUUUCACCUCAAAAGAAUUUAAAAGCUUCCGUUGCGAAUUUUUGUCAAAAUUUAUUUCGAACAAAUGCCUAGCGAAUUUCUAGAAUGUAAAUCGAAUUUUCGGUUUAAGUUUUAGAGACUCGCGGCACUGUAACGUACUCAAGCUGGUGAGGUGUAGUUUGGGGCGUUACAUCUCCCCUGCCGAGUGCAACACCUGCAUAAGCAAGAUUUCCCCUUUUGUCAGCCAACUCUGCUGAAAACCUCCACCGAUUAAUUAGCCCUCUGCUUUUCUCUCUCUUAUCAUGCAUUUCUUCUCAUGAACCCACCCAUCUUAGAUAGAACCAAAGGUUGGUAGAAUUGAAGAUUUCAAGCAAAUUUCCUUCCAUGAGAGAGAGAGAAGAUUUGGAAACUGUGGCAAAGAAGAAGUCAAAACGGGGGGGGAGAGAGAGAGAGAGAGGGACCCCACUUAUUUUUUUGCCUCAGCAGCAAUUAAAAAAAUAGAUAAAAUAGUAGGUAUUUAUGAAAAUCAAUAUAAGCCGUUGGAUCAUGAUUUUAUACACGUGUCACUUUGACAUUGAAAGCUUAGGCAAGCUAGGAAGAUAAGGAAUUUAGGAGCAUAGAACUUUGCUGAAGGCUAGACUCCUCGUCUUGUUUGUGGAAAUUAAAAAAUGAGAUGAGUCAUUUUCUUUAGAGAAAAAUGCACCAUCAGUGCCUCAACUCUUGUGCACCGGCCAAGUUGAUACUCGGACUCUCAAUUGUAUCAAUGUGAUACCUGAACCCAUAUUUUGCUAUCAACGAGGUACUUCCGUCAAAUUUCUCAAACGGGAACGUUAAAAAAGUCACGUGCCAAUCACAUGGGCCCAAAAAAAAGGGCAAAUACGUCUUUUUGCCCAAAUGCAGCCCAAUUUUUUUUUUUACACAAUUUUCUCUCUCUUCUUCUUCUUCUUCUUCUUCUUCUUCCUCCUCCUCUGUUUAGUCGUUCAGUCCAAUGAAGAAGGUAAAGACAGAGACCAGAAACGAAAUCUUGCAGCGGCUAUCACAAGACAAUCCUUUGGCCUUGUCACUAUCCCUACUUUUAUUAAACACCAAAGAUGUGAACAUCGAUGAAAGCCUCUGCUUCCCCAUCAUCGCCGCCGCCGCCGUAAGCCACGAAUUGGGCUUUUUGGGCCGCGGCUCAUUCUCCUUCUUCUCCACCUUCUUCCUCCUCCUGGGCCUCAUAUCGCCGUCUGAUUCAUCCGACGACGUCGUCGAUGAAGUCCCCGAACGGGUCCAGUCCUCUUCCUCGCCGUCGUCGCGGUACCCUAGGCCGCCGUCGUCCUCGAUGAAGUCCCCGAACUCCUCGCGGCGCUUGGCGAUGAUCGCGUCGUAGAUCGGCUUCUCCAUCUUGAUCUGGAACCGGUCGUCGGCGUUUUUGGAGAGGCGGCCGCCUUGCCGGCUGGUACAGGCUGCCAGUACGUCGCCGCCUCCGCCCCACCAGAGCCUCGAGUUCACCGUCAAGUCGUUGUAAGUGAUUUCUGGGCAAGCAUUGAUUAAUGGGUUUUUGAUCUAGCUCCUAAGGAAAGAAAGCAUAAAGCUUGAGUCUAUGUUUAACAUAUGGUGUUUUGAUUUUGAAUGAUGUCAAAUGCCAAUUGAUUGGAUAAUAUAUUGUUUUCCAGAUUUGGUUUUGGUUUGUUAUCGAAUUUCAAUUUUGGUCAAGACUUGCAAGUGGAAUUGCUACAAUUUAAUUUGAAGCUCUAAGAUUUUUGGGAUAAUGGAGCACCUGCAUCUGUUUGCGUCUGGUUUACAAUGGCAAUGCAUUCAUACCAUCUGCAUUCUGGGCCCUUUUCUUUAUCUUCUUCAACCUCACUUUCCCUCAUUAAUUUGCUUCGUACCCUGUUGAAGGUUUGUGUACAAUUUGUUGGGUUUUGGUUGUGAUUGGAGAACUGGGUUUUGGCAAUUUGUUGAGUUUUGGUUGUGAUUAGAGAACUGGGUUUUAGUUUAAUAGAGCAUUGCUUUAGUAAAGUUUGGAACUUUGGAUUGAGCUGAAAUCGAAAUCGCAUUGAACAUUUUGUAUGCUUAAACUUAGAGCUGAGGUAGUGGAGGUCGGAGAGGCAGGCGGUUCUGGAAAAUGACGACGGAGGGAAUGGUGGUCAUCCCCUAUGGAAAAUGGCGGGAAAUCAAGGUCUGAUAGAGUCUGGGGUCAUUUAAGUCAUUUCAUGGCAUUUUUAGGGUCCACAUGUUUGCCACGUCAGACAUCUGACGGAGCCGUCAGUGAAAUGUGACGGAAGUACCUCGUAGAUAGCAAAAUAUGGGUUCAGGUAUCACAUUGAUACAAUUGAGAGUCCGGGUAUCAACUUGGUCGGUGCACAAGAGUUGAGGCACUAAUGGUGCAUUUUUCUCUUUUCUUUACUAUGGCGGGUGAGACGAGAAAAUGGCCAAAUAUUAAGAUCCAGUCUUCAGUGUUCCCAGGAAAUAAUGGCUCCAAAGAUUGAAUAAUCUCUGUAACCCAAAAAAAAAAAAAAAAAAGAAUGAAUAAUCUCCAUGCAUGCUUGGUCUUUAGUUAGACCUGUGAUUUACUUCAAGAACCAGGCUGGCUGAAACAAAAUUAUAGUUAAAUUAUAACUUAGUAUAUAACCAAUUAAGAACCAUGAUGAGAUAGUAAAAACUACAUGAGGACCUGGGUACGUAUCUUAAAUGUUGAAUGUCUUUAGUUAGCUAUUCAAUCUAGGGAUUCGAUUUAUGGCUAUUUACUGUUAAACGUUUACUUUGUAAGACUUUAAAAUUAUCAUAAAUCCUUUCAAAAAAAAAUUAUCAUAAACAAGUGUAUGUUGUAAUUGCAGUUUUAAUGAAUGAUAUUUCACUUGAUCAAAAAAAAAAAAAAAAAACAAGUGUAUGUUAUUUCGAUAGAAAAUGUGUAAGUGUAUUUUAAUUUGUCUUUUGGAAUUGAUUGAAUUUGUAUCUAUGAGACUAUGACAUUAAGAUGUAACUUAGU